GCCUCUGCCCUUGCAUGCCCUCCCUGGUGUGCUCCCCUCCCAGAAACCCCUUCUCCAACCGGGCUGGCCUGGAAGGUCCUUGAAAAUCCCCUGUGAGUUAAGGAGAAGGCAGGUAAGUGGCAGGCUCAGCCAAGGAAACUGCUAUCCAGUCUCUAAUAGCCUGUUGCCACUGUCGAGGAGGACUCUGUCCCAUCCCUCCACCUCAAACCUCCCAAGGAUGCCUACUUGGGAAGACUAGUCUUGGCUGCUGGUGCAAGAGUGGAAAAUUAAGUGACCUGGCCCAGCCCACAGCCUCCAAGUGAAACCCCAGGGGUCUGAAAAGCCAGGGCUUGAAGGACUUUUGACAUUGAGGUGAGUGGACUGGGACUUGAAGAUUAGAGGGGCUUUGGUGGUGAGGGGCAUCAGAGUUGCCUUUCCCCAAAGCCCCAGGCCUGCUCACCUAGCUGUUUGAGGGGUCCUGGGACACAGGACUUUCUCUCUCCACUGGGCCUGGGCACCUCUUCCUGCCCUAGUACACAGGCAUCCCGCUUUUUUUCUCUUGGCAGGUGCCAUUUGAGGUGGCAGAAAGAAGCACAUCUGGGUUCCCAGCCCAGAGCUGCAGAAGCCUAAUGGGUGUGGGAUAGGGAGUUGAGAAGAGAGAGGGAGACAGGCUUAGAAGGCCCUCUGCCUUAAACCCCUUCUUACACUUCCUCCGUUUCUCAGUGAGCUCUCAGUUGCUCUUAGCCUUUCUUAGUCUCUUUCUUUCUUCCUCAUAUUCCUUGGUCUUUCCCGCUGUGUCUUUUAGCCUCUAGUUUCACUAACAGCAUGCUCGAGCUCUCCUUUCCCCAGUAUCUUCUGCCCACUAUCACUUUCUUUCUCUUUCUCUCAUUCCCUUUUUCUGUUUCUGUUGCCCUGCUUCUCUCGCUUUCAUCUCAGUCUCUUUCUGUUGCCCUUUCUCUCGGUGCCACUGUUUCUCUUUGUCUUUGUUCCUGUCUUUCUGUUACUUGGAAUCUCUCUCUCUGCCUGACUUUCUGUAUGUCUGCGUCCGUUUCUUGUUCCCUCUC